AUACAGAUUGAUGGCGACCGGCGCACGGGUGAGUAACGCGUAUGCAACUUACCUAUCAGAGGGGGAUAGCCCGGCGAAAGUCGGAUUAAUACCCCAUAAAACAGGGGUCCCGCAUGGGAAUAUUUGUUAAAGAUUCAUCGCUGAUAGAUAGGCAUGCGUUCCAUUAGGCAGUUGGCGGGGUAACGGCCCACCAAACCGACGAUGGAUAGGGGUUCUGAGAGGAAGGUCCCCCACAUUGGUACUGAGACACGGACCAAACUCCUACGGGAGGCAGCAGUGAGGAAUAUUGGUCAAUGGCCGAGAGGCUGAACCAGCCAAGUCGCGUGAAGGAAGAAGGAUCUAUGGUUUGUAAACUUCUUUUAUAGGGGAAUAAAGUGGAGGACGUGUCCUUUUUUGUAUGUACCCUAUGAAUAAGCAUCGGCUAACUCCGUGCCAGCAGCCGCGGUAAUACGGAGGAUGCGAGCGUUAUCCGGAUUUAUUGGGUUUAAAGGGUGCGUAGGUGGUGAUUUAAGUCAGCGGUGAAAGUUUGUGGCUCAACCAUAAAAUUGCCGUUGAAACUGGGUUACUUGAGUGUGUUUGGGGUAGGCGGAAUGCGUGGUGUA
rnacentral:rRNA from 1 species